UGCGGAGGAUCAUUAAAAAAUAUAGAAUUUAUUUUCUGUAACCCAAUCUGCGUACUUGUACCUGUUGCUUCCGCGAGCCAGUGGACGUAUAUGUAUGAAAAUACGUAUAAGUUCACUCUCUGGUGUCAUUCCGUGGAAUGACUGUGCCACCGAGUGCUCGCGGGAGGUCUUCAUAAACUCUGUUUUUUUUGAACUCAGUCUGAAUAUUGUUUAUAAUUAAACUUUAAAACUUUCAACAACGGAUCUCUUGGUUCUCGCAUCGAUGAAGAACGCAGCGAAAUGCGAUAAGUAGUGUGAAUUGCAGAAUUCAGUGAAUCAUCGAAUCUUUGAACGCACAUUGCGCCUCCUGGUAUUCCGGGAGGCAUGCCUGUUCGAGCGUCAUUAAAAUCACUCAAGCUUAGGUUUACCUAUUGCUUGGUCUUGGAGAUGGAAGCCAAUUUAUUGGAAUCCUCUUCGAAAUCCAAUGGCGAAGACCCUUGCUCUCCCAAGUGUAGUAAUAACUUAUGUCACUGAAGGAAGCGAGAAAUCUUCCGCCGUAACCCCCAUAUUUUCUAUGAUUGACCUCGGAUCAGGUAGGGAUACCCGCUGAACUUAAGCAUAUCAAUAAGCGGAGGAAAAGAAACCAACAGGGAUUGCCUUAGUAACUGCGAGUGAAGCGGCAAAAGCUCAAAUUUGAAAUCUGGCGUCUUCGACGUCCGAAUUGUAAUUUGGAGAGACAUCUUCGGAGUAGACGCCGUCCUAAGUUCCUUGGAACAGGACGUCACAGAGGGUGAGAAUCCCGUGCCUGGAUGGCUGUUCUACUUCAUGUGAAGUGUCUUCGACGAGUCGAGUUGUUUGGGAAUGCAGCUCAAAAUGGGAGGUAAAUUUCUUCUAAAGCUAAAUAUUGGCGAGAGACCGAUAGCGCACAAGUAGAGUGAUCGAAAGAUGAAAAGCACUUUGAAAAGAGAGUUAAAAAGUACGUGAAAUUGUUGAAAGGGAAGCGCUUGAGACCAGACUCGAUCAGUGGUGAUCAGCGGUGCUUCUGUACCGUGCACUUGCCAUUGAUUGGGCCAGCAUCGGUUUAGACGGCGGGAUAAAGACCUAAGGAAUGUGGCUCCUCUCGGGGAGUGUUAUAGCCUUGGGUGCAAUGCCGCCAGUCUGACCGAGGACCGCG
rnacentral:rRNA from 1 species